UCCGGCACCCACAUUGGAGCCCGACUAAAUCCGAAUUCACACCGGAAAAGUCCCCUGAUUUCCCAUCCGGUAUCCGGUACCCACAUUGGAGCCCGACUAAAUCCGGAUUCACGCCGGAAAGUCCCACAUUGGGGGAUAAAGCGCUCCCUAACAAAGGCAACUCUGUACCCAAGGGGAAUCGAACCCGAGACCUCUUGGUUAAGGAUGAAUGAGUACUUACCACUCCACCA
rnacentral:lncRNA from 1 species